rnacentral:rRNA from 1 species
GACAGAGGUCCCGAGCGUUAGGCGGAAUUACUGGGCGUAAAGCGUGCGCAGGCGGUUUGCUAAGACAGGUGUGAAAUCCCCGGGCUUAACCUGGGAACUGCGCUUGUUACUGGCAAGCUUGAGUGUGGCAGAGGGGGGUGGAAUUCCACGUGUAGCAGUGAAAUGCGUAGAGAUGUGGAGGAACACCGAUGGCGAAGGCAGCCCCCUGGGCUAACACUGACGCCUCAUGCACGAAAGCGUGGGGAGCAAACAGG